AAAACAUAGCCCUAGAUAAAAUCUAAGGUGUAACCUGCCCAGUGGUUUUUAAAUAAUAAUUAAAAAAAUUAAAAAUAAAACUAAAAGGACGCGGUAACCUUGACCGUGAUAAUGUAGCAUAAUCACUCGCCAUUUAAUUGAUGGAUAGUAUGAAUGGUUGAACGAAUAUUCCACUGUCUUAAAGAGAAUUAAAAGAAAUUGAAAUAAUAGUUAAGAUGCUAUUUUAAACUGUAAGACGAAAAGACCCUAUAGAGCUUAACUAUAAACUUUUUAUAAAAAAUUAAAAAUAAAUUUACUAAUUAAAAAGUUUGGUAGUUUAGUUGGGGCGACUAUCUUCUAAAAUAAACGAAGAUAAGCAAUAUUAAUAAAAAAUUUAUUGUAUAAAUAAAAAUUUUAACAAUUAUCAUAGUAGGCUAUAAUGACCCGUUUUUACUAAAAAAUAAGAAAAACGAUAAUUAAUAAAAGCUACCUUAGGGAUAACAGGAUAAUUUCAUUUUAGAGCUCAUAUCGAAAAUGAAGUUUGUCACCUCUAUGUUGAAUUAAGAUAUCCUGAUAAUGCAGAAG
rnacentral:rRNA from 1 species